GGUUUUUCUUUUAGCAUCGAAUAUAAAGUUUGCGCUUCAUGUGUGCCUAAAUGAAAUGUAUCCAAGUUUAGAAAAAAAAAAAUAGAACUUAAGUGUUUGAUGGGCGUUGUGUAGUGUCUGUGUCAAACUUGGUGCUCUCUUCCAACUGGCCCAAUAACCUAAAUGGUGCCACACCACAUGGACAAAAUGCUUGAGUCCAAAUUACAUGGCAGUAGGUAGGUGGUUGAUUAUAUACCGCACAAACUUCGUAGAUGUGAGCAUGUGGGAAAUCACAAUUUGUUUGCUUUAACUGCUGAUGGUUUUGCAAAAAGCCGACAUUCAUCUGCGAGAAAAAGUUGUGAGAACUUGAGGUCCUGAUGACACCAUGAAAGUCCUGAGGGCUAUUUGCUGAGCAACAUUUUCUGAAAGAGCAAUGAAACCUUCAGCGCAAAUAAGGAACAGAUACAGGUACAUGGUAAACCCCUUCGAGGUCUAAAAGUCUGAAAAUAAGCCCCAUUAUUCAGCACAGCAUAAGACACCACUGUCAUGCCACUUCAUCAAUAGUUCAAUAAUCCAUCUAGAUCCAAACCCCCAAAUGACCCAUCAUUAGUAAAAGAAAAACCCUCACCAUCCUGUUUGUAAGCAUGAAUCAUAUCCAGCUUCAAAUCCAAGAACCCCUCUUCUUUCCCUUGUCUCUAGUUUUUCGGUCAGGUAAUGGAAAAUCUCAAAAGCAAUUAAAAGAUCAUCAUUAAUCGGGCUACUUGGAACAAAGGCACUCUGCGUAUCUGAAUUAACAACUGGCAGCCCCAUUUAAGUUUUUUAGGCAACAACUUUGAUAUAAUCUAGCGAAUUAUAUUGCAGAAACUGAUAGGUUGGAACUCCAUCAUCAUCUUUGGCUUUUUCAUCUUGCAGAUGCAGAGAAAGUAUUAUUGAUCACGUCAAUGCUCUGGUUCCAUUAACGAUAUCAGGAAUUGCCUUAGUCAUCGCCAAAACUUUUGGAACAAAAGACCAGGUUUGUAUGGCAAGAAAAACAUCAUGAUCAGAUAAUAACAUCCAACGAUCAUAAUAUAACAACUAAAACAUAUCGAAUAAGAGGUAAUAGGAUUCUAAUACCUGCCUGUAAAAGAACAAAUAAGCUACUCUAUGAACCUAAGCUCUAAUAAGUGAAAGGCAUCACACUCCAAUAGUGAAACACAUUGCCUUUGAAUAUGGGCAAUCAGUGCCUCCUGAAUACACCCAACAUGAAAGGAAACGGGAGCUGACAUGAAGGUGAUUGAGUUAUGAGGUUCAGAACAAAACCACCAACAGUACUCUAAAGUCACACUAACAAAACACCAACUAGUUUGGCACUCAAUCUAUGAUAAUUAUUGAUAAGGAACUCCAUGACAGUAACCAAAGCUUAUAACUAUUUCGUAUCAGAAACAGUUAAAAUUAAUUCUAUUAACAUCCCACUAACUGAAACUAAUUAGUAGCACUUGAUAGGUUAUCUAAGUGAAAUAUUGCAUUAACAAAAAUGUCGUAGAAUGAAACGCAUGAGAAACAUGUACGGCCCCCUCAGGUAUCAAUUAAAAAUAUGCGCAAAAAAACCACAGAAGCUAGCCAUUAAUACAAAUAAAAAGAAGAAAUCAAUUACCAGAUAUAACAGCCUCUUGAGAAGGAAAAUACAGAAAAAUCCUUGACACAGAAUAAUGGGAAGCAAAUAUAAGAGAGAUUAACCGGGCACUUCCCUAACAGAAUUGCUUGCCUUCCCAGAGAUCCAAGACAUGUUAAAUAAAAUGCAUUCAGUGUGCUGGACAAAGUUCCCCGGGGCAUAGAAGAAGGAAGACAUUGAUCACCUGCAAUCAAUUUUUCAAACUAAAUCCUCUACUUUGUGUAGUAGUGUUGGCAAGAAAAACAUCAUGAUCAAAUAUGAAUAACAAAAUAUCAUAAUAUAACAACUAAAACAAGGUAUAAGAGAGAGGAUUCCAAAACCUAGCUGUAAAAGCAUACAAAAGUAGCUUUAAAAGUGACCUAAACCCAUUCGACAGUGGACAAUCAUAGCAUGCUAAAUUUACACAAAAAGGAAAAGAAAAUCUUAUGUGAAGGUGGUUAGAUAUUAGACUUAGAACAAAUCAGCUAAAGUAACAAAAUAAAAAGAUUAGAUGGCCUCUCCGCACUUAUUGUAAUUGAUAAGAAAGCCUUGGAAGUAACCAAAGCUUGUCACUAUUUAGCAUCAGCAACAGUUUAAAUGAGUAAAAACCUAAACAUACCACUGUCUAAUCAAGUGGCAUCCAUGAUAGAAUUUUGAAGAUAUAUUUCAUGAACAAAAGUGUGUCGCACUCAUAGAAUCCCCAGGUGUCCACCAAAAAUAUUUGAGAACAAACGCUGGUUGCUUGUCAUCAAUGUAAAUAAAAAGGAAAAACCAAUUAGCCAGAAUGAUAUAAAGCCUCUUCUUUCUGUAAAAAAUAAAAAGAAAACUACAUGGUAACUACAAGAGAACAUAAUCAGACAUUUCCCCCAAGGAGUUGUUUGCCUACCACAC
rnacentral:lncRNA from 1 species